rnacentral:rRNA from 1 species
UACGGGGGGGGCAAGCGUUGUUCGGAAUUACUGGGCGUAAAGGGCUCGUAGGUGGCCAACUAAGUCAGACGUGAAAUCCCCCGGCUUAACCGGGGAACUGCGUCUGAUACUGGAUGGCUUGAGUUCGGGAGAGGGAUGCGGAAUUCCAGGUGUAGCGGUGAAAUGCGUAGAUAUCUGGAGGAACACCGGUGGCGAAGGCGGGUCUCUGGGCCGGAACUGACGCUAAGGAGCGAAAGCGUGGGGAGCGAACAGG